rnacentral:tRNA from 1 species
GGGCUCUUAGCUCAGCGGUAGAGCAGGGGACUCAUAAUCCCUUGGUCGCAGGUUCGAAUCCUGCAGGGCCCACCA